UACGUAGGUCCCGAGCGUUGUCCGGAUUUAUUGGGCGUAAAGCGAGCGCAGGUGGUUUAUUAAGUCUGGUGUAAAAGGCAGUGGCUCAACCAUUGUAUGCAUUGGGAACUGGUAGACUUGAGUGCAGGAGAGGAGGGUGGAAUUCCAUGUGUAGCGGUGAAAUGCGUAGAUAUAUGGAGGAACACCGGUGGCGAAAGCGGCUCUCUGGCCUGUAACUGACACUGAGGCUCGAAAGCGUGGGGAGCAAACAGG
rnacentral:rRNA from 1 species